rnacentral:rRNA from 1 species
UACGUAGGAGGCAAGCGUUGUCCGGAGUUACUGGGCGUAAAGCGCACGCAGGCGGUCGGUCAAGUUUGGGGUGACAGUUCCCGGCUCAACUGGGAAAGUGCUUCAAAAACUGGUCGACUUGAGGGCUUCAGAGGGAUGCGGAAUUCCGGGUGGAGUGGUGAAAUGCGUAGAUAUCCGGAGGAACACCAAAGGCGAAGGCAGCAUCCUGGGAAGCACCUGACGCUCAGGUGCGAAAGCUAGGGGAG